rnacentral:tRNA from 1 species
CCGAUAGCUCAGUCGGUAGAGCAGAGGACUGAAAAUCCUCGUGUCGCUGGUUCGAUUCCAGCUCGGGC